UACAGAGGUCCCAAGCGUUGUUCGGAUUCAUUGGGCGUAAAGGGCGCGUAGGUGGCGCGGCAAGCGUGCGGUGAAAGCUCGGGGCUCAACCCCGAGUCGGCCGUGCGAACUGCCGCGCUCGAGCACUGUAGAGGCAGGCGGAAUUCCGGGUGUAGCGGUGGAAUGCGUAGAGAUCCGGAAGAACACCGGUGGCGAAGGCGGCCUGCUGGGCAGUGGCUGACACUGAGGCGCGAAAGCUAGGGGAGCAAACAGG
rnacentral:rRNA from 1 species